AAUAGAUACCCGGGUAGUCCACGCCGUAAACGGUGGGCACUAGGUGUGGGCGACAUUCCACGUCGUCCGUGCCGCAGCUAACGCAUUAAGUGCCCCGCCUGGGGAGUACGGCCGCAAGGCUAAAACUCAAAGGAAUUGGCGGGGGCCCGCACAAGCGGCGGAGCAUGUGGCUUAAUUCGACGCAACGCGAAGAACCUUACCAAGGCUUGACAUACACCGGAAACGUCCAGAGAUGGGCGCCCCCUUGUGGUCGGUGUACAGGUGGUGCAUGGCUGUCGUCAGCUCGUGUCGUGAGAUGUUGGGUUAAGUCCCGCAACGAGCGCAACCCUUGUCCCGUGUUGCCAGCAGGCCCUUGUGGUGCUGGGGACUCACGGGAGACCGCCGGGGUCAACUCGGAGGAAGGUGGGGACGACGUCAAGUCAUCAUGCCCCUUAUGUCUUGGGCUGCACACGUGCUACAAUGGCCGGUACAAUGAGCUGCGAUACCGCGAGGUGGAGCGAAUCUCAAAAAGCCGGUCUCAGUUCGGAUUGGGGUCUGCAACUCCG
rnacentral:rRNA from 1 species